ACUAGGAUACGGGGGCGCUUCUCAGGGAGCAUAGAGAUAACAGCCCAAUAUAGACAAGCACAAAGCAAGACUGCAGCGGCUACCGCCAUCUAGUGUAUACGUGGCUAACUGUAAGGCGGCAAACCCUGCUGCUCCCUGCAUCAAGCAAUCAGUGCCGUGACUAGAAGAGAGUUUUUUGGAAACAGAGGGAAUGUUCACACGCUGGAGUUCCUAAAUAUACUAGAGAGGAAGCUGCAUUUAUCGGUGGCUGAGAACUAUACAGUACAUGGCAGACUGAGCUGCUGAGGAGGAGAAAGAAGAUGUAGAUAAGGUGGCCUGGAUUCCCCAUUGCACCAGGACUCAAAAGUUAUGCAUUGCCAUUUGGGGAGCAAAAGUUAAUGGUGACCCCAUUACCUGUAGCCAGGAGCACCCAAGUGAAUUAGUCCACCUGGGGUAUUCUAUUUGCUACCUUGAAGAGCAGCUAAAGAUGAACAGUCUUGUUCAAAAGUGGACAUCUAAAAUUAUACAGGCAUCAUUUUGUGAAGUAAAAUUUGAUACAGAGAGUUUGAUAUAAUUGAGUGACUUUGAGAGCAUCACUACUAAGACUAAACUUCGCAAAAUAUAGACCAUAUUCAAAUCCCCAGACAUAAGGUUCUAAUAUUGAUGCAGGUAUUUAGUUGAGUACUGUUCCUUCUAUUAUAUACAGUAUUGCAUUACCUGAGAG